UUUACUCACGCGCUGUGACGGGACAGACAUGGGAAAACGUGGCAAUGUAUAGUUCGCAGUAAUAAUAAGUAUGUUAUUAGAUAACAAGCCAGAUUUGUUUAUAAGUAAUACACUGGUACGUGGAACAAUUAGUACGCUAUCAUUGAUUCAGUGUUGUUAUCGCGUGGUGAUGCUCGCUGUCGCUAUAAGUACAGAGAAAGUUUAUUAUUCUCUGUGUUACCAGCAGUCUGCGAUCAGCUGAUGCAAACUCGAGUCGAUUGUUUAAAGUUCGGAGUACUAACAAAGGACUUUUUUGUCAAUCUAUCGAAACUAUAUGAUCCGUCGACAGUUUAACUGUGCUCUCAGCUAUGAGACAUCGUCAGCAUAAACGAAACUGCUUUGUGCUCGAUUGAGCAAAUGAUGAAACUAUAAGGAGAUAAUUUGAAAACUUACACAAGUGUUAUCGUAUGUAGACAGUAUGAAAUUUCCGGAGUAUAAAAACCAAGGAUAAGGUACCGUACUCGCCACACACAAUGAUGGGGGUACCCUACCUCGCCAAUGACCGAGACAGUAUGGGAUUUUUUCACCAGUUUCGUCUGCUGUUGUGGAAGAAUUUUACGCUCAAAAAACGGACACCUUUUGUGCUGCUUUUCGAGGUUUUCAUCCCCCUUGUCCUGUUUGUCAUCUUGAUCCUCAUCAGAAAAAAACAGCCAGCGGUGCCCAUGCCACAAGGAAACUAUUAUGCAGAACCGUUACCAUCGUCUGGUGUUGUGCCAAUUAUGCAGAUGUUUUGUGACGGAGGACAGUCCAAAGACAAGAAUGGCUUCCGCGAGUUUCAUCAUGCAAAUACCACCCAGUUCCUGAACCAGCUGCAGUCAGUUGCUAAGAACCACCAUUUCUUCAACCCCGGUUACACGCCCUCGGAGAUGGAUGACUUACCGUACAUCUACAAAAGUAUCAUUGAUGACCCUGCUACACUGCACGAGCUGUUCAAACAUGGCCAUGAUUUCCAGCUAAGUUCCGUGGUCGGGAACAGACUGAAGUUUGCCAAGUACCUUCACAGCAACCUUUCUCUGCCAAUGGAUGAUAUAAACACCAUAAUGAACGCCACUAUUCACAUCUCUGAGUUAAACAAGUUAUUAUUUGGAGUAGAUCCAGAGACAACACAUGCCACCAUUUUACGGAGACUCCGUAGAGACAUCACAAGAAGCCUGGGGGAUUUACAACUUCCUCCGCUCUUUCACCAAAAUGAAUUCCAGCAAGUGCCUUUUCAGUCCUUUCUAAAUGAGAGUGAACUUCUAGAGGAAGCCCUUCACUCACAAAGUACAGAGUCCCCGGAAGCCCUGUUUUACAAGGUUAUCGAGAAUGACGGUCUGCUGGCUGACCCACUGGUGCAGAAGUUCCUUGUCCCCUACCUAGGGCUGAUCGACAGCAACCAAGAUUUAAAUACUAUUACUCCAGGAGAGACUGCUGAGUUUCUGAAGAUGGUGCUAUUCUCUCCUACAGCAUUACACCAGCUAGCCUGUAAUGAUGAGUUCCUCAAAGUCAUUGUUCCUGCUACCACCAGUAACGAGACAUACAUUACUGAUGCCAAGAACCGAGUGUGUAACAUGAGUAAGGUACAGCUGCUGGACCUGUCAAACCUCCUCAAAAGGGAGAUAAGUGACCAGGAGGUGAUCAACGCCUUACAACUGCAUGCAGUCAAUUUGACAUCUCUCGAGAAUAAAGUCAAGACAUUCAUGAAGGAGCUCCAGAAAUUUUACCAGUUCCAAGAGAGCCUGUACGAGAUGAGCGUGUUUGCUGAGACCCUUCCACAAGAUUCAUGCAGCCGAGUAAACCUGACCAGCCCCUCUAAUUCUGUCAACGUUACAGCAGGCAACAUAACUACAUCAUCGCCUCUGGAUGAUGAUGAUGACGACGAUGAUGAUGACAGUGAUGAUGACAAUGAAAAAAAGGACAAGGUUGACCAACAAACCAAAAAGCCACCAAAGUUUGCCGGAUUUCUGCACCUGUGGAAUAGAAUGCAGAGGACAUUUUGUGGUAGACAGCCCAAGGAGGUGCCCAAGAAACGUAUGGAGAGUGACAUUAAAGACCUGAAUCUUGAUGACCUUGGGAUAUCAAGGGCACAACAAGACAACCUGAAAAUCCUGGUGCAUGUUCUCUACAGCAAUCCGAAAGUCCUGUAUGCCCCAAACAACACCGCCGCUGACAAGAUCAUAAAGAAGGCCAAUGAAUCGUUUGCUCUAAUGGAUGAGAUCAGCACGUAUGCCAGGAAGUGGCUUAAUAUCUCCGGGGAGUUGAGGACAUACCUAAUGGAGAACUCCACAGCGUACAACCUGGCCUCCAUCAAAGAGAUGCAUCGACAACUGAAGAACAACCAGGGCAUGUUUUCAAUGUUACGGGGAGUGAAAGGCAUCCAGGAGUUCCUCAACAGCUCCGUACCAGACAUUCCCUUCUUUCUCCACGAGCUUAACAACAUAGACAACGCAGCGUGUGGCUGGCUCAGUACACUGGCCGGGAUCAACCUCAACGUGUUCCGUGGAUUUCGCACGGAAGAAGAUCUUGUGGAUUACUUCCUCACCAAGGCGUACUCAGAAAAUGUCACUACAGUCGCAGGUUUGAUAUUUGAGAACUUUAAGAAGGGUGAAGGUCUCCCUCCUCAUGUCACAUACAAGAUACGACAGAAUGCAACUUUCACACCGACGACAAAGUACGUACGGAAUCGAUACUGGUAUCCAGGGCCAGGACCGUGGCAACACCCCUACUACCAAUUUGGCUUUGUCUGGAUACAGGACAUCAUAGAGCGCGCCAUCGUUGACGUACAGGUGGGGCGAGACGUCGUGGAGCCUGGCAGCUAUGUAACACAGUUCCCCCACUCCUGUUAUAAAUACGAUGAGUUUGUGUUUAUGAUAGAACAUGUGAUGCCCCUGUGUCUGACCAUUUCCUGGGUCUACUCCGUCGCCAUGCUGGUACAGAGCAUUGUGUAUGAAAAAGAGCAAAGGCUGAAGGAGGUGAUGAGGAUGAUGGGUCUAAGCAAUGCUGUCCAUUGGUGCGCGUGGUUUACCAUGACCUUCAUACAGAUGACCAUCACUAUGGGCCUGCUGACCAUCAUGCUCAAGAUCGGCAACGUUCUGGCCCACAGUAACCCUUGGGUUGUGUUCACUACCCUGGAAGUGUUCGCCAUUGUCACCAUAGCAUUCUCGUUCUUGGUGAGCACGUUCUACUCGAAGGCCAAGGUAGCAGCCGCGUGUGCUGGCAUUGUGUACUUCCUCACCUACGUACCGUACAUGUACGUAGCCAUCAGAGAGGACGUGGCUGGUGACCAGAUCUCAGCGGUCAUCAAGUCCCUUGUGUCUCUGUUUUCUACGACUGCGUUUGGCCUGAGCGGGAAGUACUUCGCGUUUUACGAGGAGGAGGGAGUCGGAGUACAGUGGGACAACAUCCAUCUGUCCCCCGUAGAAAAUGACGAGUACAGUCUGCUCACGUCCAUACUCAUGAUGAUCCUCGACUCAUUCCUCUACUCCCUGCUGGCUUGGUACAUAGAGAAUGUGUUCCCAGGAUCGUAUGGUCUGCCACGGCCGUGGUAUUUCCUGUUCUCCAAGACGUACUGGUGUUCAGGUGCCACAAAGGCACAGGAAAUGGACUGUGGCAACAUCCUGGACAUGUGUCGUCGUAACCAUGCCUACAGCUCGUUACUGGAGGACCAGGCCUGUGCACUGGAUCAAAGGGAUGCAGAGUAUGCUAGAAAGUUUGAGGCAGAUCCUACCCACCUCCCCCAGGGUGUUCACAUAGAGAAUCUCACAAAGAUUUACAAGACUGGAAAAAAACUAGCUGUAAAAAAUUUGACACUAAGUUUUUACGAGGGACAGAUAACAUCAUUCCUGGGCCAUAAUGGUGCAGGGAAAACAACGACAAUGUCAAUCUUGACUGGGCUGUUCCCUCCAACAUCUGGAUAUGCACUGAUAUACGACAAUGAUAUCCGCACUGACAUGGAUCUGAUCCGCCAGAGUCUGGGAAUGUGUCCCCAACACAACGUCCUGUUUGACAAACUGACAGUACAGGAACAUCUGUGGUUCUAUGCUCGCCUCAAGGGUAUGAAGAUGGAGGACAUUAAACCAGAAAUGGAAACGAUGUUAGAGGAUAUAGGCCUUAGCAAGAAGCGUCACUGUCGUGUGGACUGCCUGUCGGGCGGCAUGCAGAGGAAGCUGUCUGUGGGCAUUGCCUUUGUGGGCGGGUCCCACACCGUCAUUCUGGAUGAACCGACAGCUGGCGUAGACCCCUAUGCCAGGCGAGCCAUCUGGGAUCUACUGGUGAAAUAUAAACAUGGAAGAACAAUCCUGCUGUCGACACAUCACAUGGACGAGGCAGACAUACUUGGUGACCGUAUUGCCAUCAUAUCUAAUGGAGAACUCAAAUGUUGUGGAUCCUCACUGUUCUUGAAGAACACCUUUGGGGAAGGGUACCACCUCAACCUGGCCAAGUCUGAAACAGAGGAGGACAUUGAAAGUCUGGAUUUCUCGGAGACGGGAGACAACAACAUCCUAAACAACAGAAAGUCAUUCGUCAGCAAAUGUCAAGAGUCAAAGGUUACAGAGUUCAUUAAUAAACAUGUAUCCACAGCGUUUUUGAAAUCAGAAACCAUUCGAGAGCUGCACUACAUCCUACCGUUUGAGGAGGCCAAGAAAGGGAACUUUGAGAAACUGUUCAACGCCCUGGAUACUGGUCUAGGUCAGCUCCAUGUUUCCAGUUAUGGGGUCAUGGAUACCAACUUGGAGGAGGUCUUCCUUAAGGUCACAGAGGCAGCCUUCCAGGAGGAAGAUGCCAAGAAUGCAAACAAAGACAACAACACCCAAGAAGACAGUGAUAAUCACAGUAACGGAUCUGACCAAUCAAAUCCAUCGACACAAGCUAGUUCAACCAAUGAGCGUGACCAUGAGGUUGAGAUGGGGAACCUGGCUGGUCUUAGCAGAAAUGACAGUGAUGAAUCACUGAUCGGACACAUACAGGAGCCUGGUGCAAAUGGCUACUUACAUCUACCGCAACAUGAUGAUGGACCAGAACGAGACGGUCCUUCCAGCUGUAAUGGAAAUGGAACCUAUCGCCUCAGCAAGAAAUGGCUACGUCUGAAUCAGCUGAGAGCUGUGCUUAUAAAACGAUUUCACUACAUCACACGUAACUACAAGGGACUUUUCUCUCAGAUCAUUCUGCCAGCUUUGUUUGUGUCUGUCGCCAUGACCGUGGCUCUGUCUGCUCCGAAGGUUAAGGACCCUCCUCCAAUUGAAUUGAGCCCUUCACAAUACUUCAAUGUCACUCAACCUAAAGGAAACUACAUUCCUUAUACAAAUGAAAAUCCGAGGAUUACAAACUAUUCCGACUCGUUGGAUGCAGGUCCUUUGGAACUGAUGCAGACAUUUCACUUGGCGUCUGGUGUGGGUGCGACUUGUGUUUUGAAGUCUACACAUGAUCGCACAUUUGGCUUUCACAACCCCAGCAACAUCACAGGAAACCAGAAACAGUUCGAGUUGUUAUACCGGUACUACGAGACACAGUGCGGAAAGGUGUUUGUGUCGGGGAUACACAUAAAGAGCUAUGUCCCCAGAGUACAGAUUAUCAACAACGAGGACAACUUAGAUGACAAUUACACGAUUCCUUCACCAGAGAGCCCAUCAGAGGAGAUUAAGUACUACCCUACCUGUCACUGUGCAAAAGAUAAAUCGGGCUUCGUCUGUCCGGGAUCCAGCACAUUUUCCCAUCCACCAGAUUUCCAGGUGGUAACCAGGGACAAAGUCCAGAACGUCACAGGGACCAACACUGAGAAGUUCCUCCUGUACACCCAGGACGCCUUGUAUCGACUACACAGAUAUGGAGCAUUUUCAUUUGGUUUGGAGAGCAACGUGGUCCCUGAAGGUUUUGGAAAAUCUGCCCCGACGAUGUUUCGCAAGUUUGCUGUGAGGCGAGUGGCCAAGGCUUGGUACAAUCACAAGGGCUACCAUGCUAUGCCGGUCUUUCUCAACACCAUCAAUAAUGCCAUUCUGAGAGCCAAUCUUCCCAAGUCCAAGGGACACCCGGCUGCAUAUGGUAUAACUGUGAUUAACCAUCCCCUAAAUCAGACCAACAACAAGCUCAAUAAAGACUACAUUCUCCAGGGAUCCGAUGUUCUCAUCUCCAUCUUCAUCAUUGUUGCCAUGUCGUUUGUGCCGGCCAGUUUUGUCGUAUUCCUGGUGUAUGAGCGUUCCAUCAAGGCCAAGCAUCUACAGUUUGUCAGUGGCAUUGACCCAGUCAUGUACUGGCUUGGUAACUACGUGUGGGAUAUGUGUAACUAUACCAUCCCAGCAUUCUGUAUCAUCAUGAUCCUCCAAGUGUUUCAUAUCCCAGCAUACACUUCACCACAGAACAUGCCAGCUGUGGUGUCCCUGUUCCUCCUGUAUGGGUGGUCCAUUACCCCGGUGAUGUAUCCAGCCUCUUUCCUGUUCAAGGAACCAAGUACAGCCUAUAUCUGUCUCAUUGUCAUCAACCUCUUCACCGGCAUCACCUGUAUCGUUUGCAGCUUCCUCCUAGAAAUCUUCUCCUACGACAAGGACCUGAACAGAAUCCAUCUGAUCCUCAAAGAUGUGUUCCUCAUGUUCCCCAACUACUGUCUGGGACGAGGACUCAUGGACAUUGCAUUCAAUGAAUACAAAAAUGAAUUCUUCUUCAAAACAGGACAGUACAACCAGAUCAAAAGCCCCUUCACCUGGGAGUUGACCUCUAGAAACCUUGUUGCAAUGGCCAUUGUUGGGGUCAGCUUCUUCCUACUGACGUUGCUAUUAGAAUUUAAAUUUUUCAUCAAAAGUAGCUACAGGCGUAAACCCCACUCGCUGUCCAGUCUGGCAGAUGAGGAUAUAGAUGUUGCUACGGAGAGGAAGCGGUUGUUACGAGGAAGUGGUCGUUACGACCUCAUUAGGAUUGAAAACCUCACAAAGGUGUAUAAAACACGGAAGCUCGGACGCCACCUCGCAGUGGACAGAUUGUGUCUCGGAGUACCCUCAGGGGAGUGCUUUGGACUAUUAGGGGUGAAUGGAGCAGGAAAAACAACAACAUUCAAAAUGUUAACGGGGGACAUACAGCCGACCAGUGGGGACGCUCAUCUCAACAGAGACAGUGUGCGUAAAGACAUGCUGUCAUUACAACAGAAGAUUGGCUACUGUCCGCAGUUUGAUGCGUUAUUUGACGAGUUGACAGCUCGGGAGCACAUCCAGCUGUACGCCAGACUGCGAGGAAUACCGCCUAAGGAGGAGAAACAGGUUGUGGAGUGGGCCCUAAAGAAGCUUGGUCUGACACAGUAUGCUGACAAAACUUCAGGAACCUACAGUGGGGGUAACAAGAGGAAGCUGUCCACAGCCAUAGCUCUCAUAGGCCAUCCACCCGUCAUCUUCAUGGAUGAGCCCACCACAGGUAUGGAUCCUCAUUCCCGCAGAUUCCUGUGGGAUCUCAUCCUCAGCCUUGUACGAGACGGACGAAGUGUUAUCCUUACAUCUCACAGCAUGGAGGAAUGUGAGGUCCUGUGUUCAAGAAUGGCCAUCAUGGUGAAUGGUCAGUUUAAGUGUCUGGGCAGUGCACAGCACCUGAAAAACAGAUAUGGAGACGGUUACACAUUCAGUAUCAGACUGAAGGGACCAGACUUUGACCAUUCCAGUGAAACAGUCCAGAGAUUUGUGGACAGAAAAUUCCCUGGUGUAGUAUUAAAGGAGCACCACUAUAACUUACUACAAUAUGAAUUACGGGGUCAGAGUGUUUCCUUGGCCCAGCUUUUCAACAAACUAGAGGAGGCACAGAAAGACCUUGAUAUAGAAGACUACUCUGUCAGUCAAAACACGCUGGACAAUGUCUUUAUCAACUUCGUAAAGAAACAGGUGGAGAUCGUGGAGGAGAACAGUGAUCUCGGUACGGAGGAGGAGGAAGAGGUAGAAGAUGAUUGUCCAAUGAUCUCGUUAGAUGGACAUGAUCAUGGGCUCGGAAUAGAUUCAGAUGAGGAUGAUCCGACCUUCAGGAUAAAUGAGUCGGGUACUCAUCUUUCUCUCCUGAAUAUGGAAACCUGACAGUUUUAUCUGAACGUCGACCAGUGACACAAAAUACAAACAUCUGCUCAACUCUGAUCUCGGUGGCUGUCCCAUCGGUGGCUGCCCUUUUGUGACAUUUAAUGACCAUAUUUCUCAGGCAUUGCGUCAUCAUUUCUACUCUAUAUACAAAUUAUUUAUUUAUCUUCAGUGCUUGCUCAAGGAAUCAGUAGUCUUGUGAAGUAUUGAUAGAGCAGCCAGUAAACUGUUUUUUUUACUUGAGCUCGGCUCUUUAUAUUCCUGUGAUCCAGAUUUAGUAGUGUACGUCAUAGCUGAGCUUUUAUAGAUUUCUUUAUAUGUAUACGAUCGUGAUUCCAUGGACUUAUUACCAGGCUGUGUACAUAUUUAUUGCAAAGUAUUCCAUUUGUGUAUAUGAAGUGGUCAUAUUGAGCUGUUUACUUACAAACCAUAAGUAACCAAGUGACAUAUUAAGAAGCACAUUUGUGUAUAACAUUUUGUCUGUAUUAUGUUAUUCAUGUGCUUGAGUGAUUUGAAAUGACGUCAUAGCCAAUAGGACAGUAAAUAUUGGACCAAAACUCUCAUUUAUCGAUCUUAUUGGUAAAAUGUCCUGUCCACUUAUAAACUGAAAUCUUUUAUUAGAUGUUAGAAUACAUGAAAAUAGUGGAAUCCUGUCAAGUUAAGUAGCUGCAGAUGUCCUUUGGGGAACACACAUAUUUGUUAGUGAUGAGAUGGUUCUCCAACAGACUCAAAGACAAGAUUGUUUUGCUAUAUGAUAUGUUUGUUACUGUUACAGUAAUCGAGUCAAAUCUGAAAUUAGACAGAAAUUGAUUAGAAUAGAAAUGUUAGACUUCUAAAAAGUAUAUUUUUGAAAUCACUUGUUGAGAUAUUUUUGAAUCAUACGUCUUGUUGAGGGUUCACAAUCGUUUGUUUCUCGUUUGUUUCUGUUGUACUACCGGAACAUUUUGUCCACAUACUUUGUAUAUAUGAAGCUGUGAGGAUUUUUACAGUAAAAGUCCUGUAGUUAAAUAGAUAUACUUCAGUGAGUUAAACGCUCCAACCUACAUGAAUAAUCCUUUUUAUUUUCCUAACAAAUCUUGGAACUUCCAGUUAACUCAAACAUAUAUUGUGUUGGUCCAAACACAAUUGAGUUUAUGUUAUAUGCUAAUGUUAUAUACCUAAUUUGACUUGCAUUCAAACUUAUCUCCCCUAACCCAGAAUUACUGGUUUGUUAUGAUUGUGUACAUUUUUGUGUUUUAUCAAUUGAUCCAGUCGAAGAAUGUGGUUAUUUAUUAAAGAUGUUUUACAGGUUUCUUAGUUAAUAGUAGAACAAUUUAGAUAUAGCAGAUAUAACAAAACAGUUUUAUACUGAGUCAAUCAGCUGUUGUUUUGUCCUAUUCCGUCUUUUCGUAUUGCAGAGUUAUCUGCUCUUGUGAGCAGGUAUUGAUUGUUACUUCAUUUGUUUGUGAGAGUAACGUCAACAAUUUUUGAGAAAAUGACGUAAUUUUCUCACGCAAACCAAUGACGUUACAAUCAAUACCUGCUCACAAGGGAAGAUAACUCGGCAAUACGCAAAGACGGAAUACCAUUCUGUAUGGAAAUUUAUAAUGGUUGAUAUAACAUCUACGUAACUGUUGUGAACAAGGAAGACUUAAUUGAUUUAUAAGAGUCGACCAUGUCAGAAAUUGAAAAUAUGUCAAUGAUCAUUAGAUAUUGUCUUUAAUAUUGUAACAGGAAUGAGAAUAGUGUGAUUCCACUGGUGAUUUAUUCCGCGCCCCUGAGCUUCCCAGUCUGCCGCUCUACCGAUUAAGCUAAAGGGAAAUUCCCUCUAGCGCGAAGCUAGAAUAAUGGCAACCUUAAUAUCCUAUGUAAAAUUAAAAUCUGCCACUCUACUCCCCCCUUGGAACACCACCACAACCCAGGUUCUAAAUCCCUGCACAUCCCGUAAGGGAGGGCCACGGACACUAUCAAUUUGUAACAGGAACGAGGGUAAGUAAUGCUUCCACCAGGGAUCGAACCCGCUACCCCAAGCUUCCCAGUCCGUCGCUCUACCGAUUGAGCUAAAGGAAAAUUCCAAUCCCUCUAGUCACUAGUGCAAAGCUAUAAGGCAAAUGGUAUCCUGUGUACAAUUAAAAUCUGCCACAAUAUUAUUAAAGUAUACUUUUGUACCAGUGACUACUAGGUAUUGUAACGGUUUGACAUAUAUGUACAAUUAAAAUCUGCCACAAUAUUAUAAAGUUUACAUUUGUACCAGUGACUAUUAGGUAUUGUAACGGUUUGACACGGUUUGUCAAAAACUGUUUAUAGAAAAUUUAAUUCUCUUCUAAAUUCUACUUGUUUUAUAUAUUGUGCUGUUUUGGAUUAUGUUAAUUUGUGUCACAUAAAGGUAGCUUUCUGUGCUCUGUAUAUCAUUUGUCGUAAAUAUAUGAUGCAAGUACAUGUAUAUGCAAUAUUACCCAAUUUAUUUACGUUGUCCCCCCCCCCCUUUUGUUUUGUUUUUGUCCAUUGAUUAAUUGAUCAGUUGAAUACAUGCUGAAUUACACUCUGUCAUGAUAGAUUUAGUGCUCUAAGUUAUAGUCAGUACAGUCUCUUACUGUGUUAUAUUGUUGUGAAUGUCUCUUACUGUGUUGAAUGUUGAAUUAUGAUUAUUUUUAUAUGUCAGUUUAUUUAAAUGAUGGAUGGAUGUAAUUUCCUUGAUGUAAUGCUUCAACAAAAGACGCAUGAACAUGGUGUUUUUCAAAGUGAAAACAAUUGCCAAUUUUUAAAUGAUGUAGUGUAGGAGAAUUCUUGAUCGGUAACGAGCCUUGCCAGUCUAAAUUAGCAGCAUUGUAGCUUCUGGUACUUUGAUUGUUCAUAUAUCUGUUUUGUGAAAGUAAAAAUAUUUGUACUUUGAAUAGUUGCCAUGAGGGAUCGGUUUAUAGUCAUCUAUAUAGUCAUCAGAACUUCCUUCUUUUUAAGCUUUAAUGCGUAGGUGUUUCAUCAAAAUGUUGGUCAAGGUUAAGAACGCAGCGAGACAAAUUAUUUCUCACAGUACCACAAGUUCAAAUUUGAACGAAAUAUUGUCUUCUGCAGGCAUGCCCUUCCAUGGGAUGUCAGCUCUCUGUCUUUCUGUAGGGCAUCUACUAAAUUCUCCUCAUUUCCUACAUCAACAAAAAAUACAGACAUUACUGUCCAUCCAGAUUUAAAAGAUAAUUUUGUUGUUGUUGAUAUAUUUAUAUUUUCAUUUAUUUGUUGAUUAUUUUGUUAUCAAAACAUGACAGUUACUUGAAAGGCGUUUGUCUGUGAUUGAAUGUUAUUUCAUAAGAUAAAGAAUUGAUGGCCUUGGUGAAAGGGUGACAUGAUGAAUUGUCUCCCUCAUUUCCAUGUGGAAUACAACUGCUGAUCGAGGUUAAACAAACCUUCAUAUCACCCUACCGCCAGAGUCAUAAAUGUAUAAUGUUCAGUUUAUCUGUUUUUUUUGAGUGGAUAAUUUGACUGAUGAUAAAAUCAAAGAUGGGACCAAAAUUGUUGACUUUUCAAUUGAAAAUAUAAUAAAAAAGGAGAAAACCAAUCAAAUUGCAAUAAAAAAAAAUUCUGUAGAUAACUGUAAUCCAUGUGUUAUACUAUCAUCUUCUAAAAUCCCGUUUUUUUUUUAUAUGAUCUCUCUCUGAAUAUCAAAAAGUAGUAUACCUUCAGUAAUGGUUAGGAUUCGUACCCAGGGUUAUUGGAUGCGAUAGGUUGUCAUCAGAACAAAGUGUUGCCCUUAGUCCCAGCAGUAUGUGGUUACAAACACCAUACUGCAUUGAUGAAGUAUAAGAUGUCUUGGGUGAAAUUAUUUUAAAAAGUUGUGAAAAUGAUAUAGCAAUAAAAAAUCAUAUACUGUACUGGCAUGAUACAGCUUUACAACUUAUCCCCACUUCGAUCAUGAUCAUUGCUAAUCCUGUAUCAAUGGUACUAGCAAUCAAAUGGAUUGGUUUUUGAGCUUGAAGGCCAAUCACGAAAUAAUAUACUCUUAAGAAAUUUUCAUCAUAGUCAUGUGCUUUGAAAUGUGAUGGAAAAAAAUUGUGAUAUCUCUUAGGUGACAAGGAUCAGCUACUGUUUAUUUACAAUCCGGUUUCUGUAAUGCUAAAUCCAUUUUUUCUUGUUGAUGUUAAUAUUUAUUUCCAUGCAGUAUUAUUUCAAUUUGAUGCUUAAGUUCUAUUUCAAAUUUAUGAAUUCAUCUGUUGAACCCUUGAUAAAUGGAUUUGAAUCUGGAGAUUUUAAAGCAAGGAGAAAGAAGUAUGAUAUCAAAGUUUUACUUUAUUGUACACAAACAAUGUACGCAUAAAAUGUGUUGCAUUAACGUUUCAAAUAAGACCGACUGGUCCCUUUGUGAAGCUAUGACUGAGUGAGCGAUUUGUAUUGUUUACCUGUACAACGAUGUGACUAAAUUGUAUAUUUCAUGUGUCGCCCAACCCAGGACCUUUCGUCUAUCGAUAGAGUGUAAUACGUAAAUUGUUUCUAUAUAAAAUAAAACUUUGAUCUUGCAUAUAUAUUUCCAAACUGAUGAAUCUUAUUGAAGAUACGUGAAAGAAGUAUACUUUUCUUAUAUAUUACAAUUUCAAUGGGUUUUUUUUAUGCACACUAGAUGUUUGUGACUGUUUUGAAUGGAUGUUACUUUAGUCAUUGCCAGUAUGUAGUUGCUGAAUGUCUCGUAUUUAAAUGAUUUAAUCCAGUGCUUGAAGUAUUAAACCAGUAUUAUUGAUAUUUCAGAUUUUACACCCAGUAUUGCAUUGUGAUUGCAAUUUAAGCUCUGUGUUUUAUUCGUCCAAGAUUUUAUUAUUUAAGGAACAACAUGAGAUGUUGGUCUUGUUAUGUCAUAUUUGCUUAAAAAGUACAUCAUUUUUUAGGUACUAAGCAUAACAGGAAAAAUCUUGGUAAUUCCUUCCAAUUUUGUUUCUUUAAGGCCAAGACAUUUUAUAUGCAAAGGUAAUAGUUUUUCUUUAUUUUUUUUUGGUUUUGAAAAAAGCAAUACAUGUAUAAUGUGUGUUAAUUUUUAUAUCAUUGUUUGACCGGUGACGGUCAGAAAUGAGCCCUUUGAUAAAAACACCAUUUGUUUUUUAGGUUUCCACGUAUAACACUGACCAAUGGUAGUAUUAUAGGUAAAAUUCAAUAUUAGUCAUUUUGAUGUAAAAGGAAAAUCUUAAUAAUUAACUAGAUACAUUUUAAACAGAUUAUAAAACUAUGCUUGACAUUCACAGUUUAAUUUAUUGGUAACAAUUAACUCUCUUAAUAGAGAAAGAUUGAUAUUUUGUAAAAUGUAUCAUUCAACAAAAAUGAGACAAGCCUGGUACAGAUGUAUUUUAAAAGGAAAACAUUUUAUUGUUAUUCUUUCUCCAUGUUUCCCCACAAUAGUUGAAUUAAUUAUCACUAUUCUCGAAGGUCUGUAGUAGUUAAUCGCUAUUCUUGCAAGGUCUGUAGUACUUAGUCGCUAUUCUUGCAAGGUCUGUAGUAGUUAGACUUAAUUUAUAAAAUUUAAAUCUACCAUACUAUCCUUACCAUGUCUUUAGAAUUUAGAAUGUAGAUUUCUUACUUGAAAUUCUUACAUGCACAUGCGAUCCCUUGGAUUUCAAUUGAAACAAGUUAUUGAAUUAUUUAAGAAGAGUUGGAAUUAUAACAUUAGUGCUUUAUAUUUCAGCUACCAGCUUAUAAUAUAUUUUCAAUGGUUAAACACAUAUUGCAAACUCCUUUGACCCUUCAACCUUGGUGAAUAUUUUAGCAUGGUAGCUUCAAAGUUCAGUACAUAAAAAACAAUUUUAUACAUUCCACAGGAGCAGUAAUCGAUAACUGGGAAAGUCCACACUUUCUACAGUGAUGUAGAAAGACAUUACGCAGUUUAAAAAAAAGUUCAGCUGUUUAAAACGAGGAUAAGAAAUUGCAACCUGCUCACAAGGUAGCUAGAACCUUUAUAAGAAUUUUCCAGCAAGCUUUAUGCAUAUUCCAUAUAACUUCAGUAAGUAGCAAAUCUUGCACAUCAUUUAUUAGCAAAUGUCUUUGCUUGUUGAAGAUGUAAAUCUGUUUUUGCUCAUUAGUGUCAAAACAUUUCUAUAACUUCCACACAGUAUUCAUUCAUUUUUUUAAUGUUUCUAUUUCAUACUAGUGAAUUCAUUUGUUUAACCCUUGAUCAAAAGAGUAGACGCUAGUCUUGUAUUCCAGGAUAUACAUGCAAGGAGAAACACAUUUAUUACAGAUUUAAUAAUGUCUUCAAUACAUAGUAUUUUACCAUUUUCAAUUUCAUGAAGUGUCCUAGAAGAGCACUUUGCCUUAUAGCUAUACUAGAUGUGGUGAUAGCAUUUUACAUUUUCAUCUUUCAAAAAAUAUUUAUACAUUUUUCUCAUCUUUUUGAGAAUAGUUCAUAAUAUUUUUUCAUUCAAUAAAGAGAACUGUUAUUCUGGUUUGUUGCAAGCCCUUGUACAAUGAUCUGCAAGAGAAGGUGCUGAAAUAAAAUGUGAUGGAAUUCUA
rnacentral:misc_RNA from 1 species